CAUGCGCGGAAAUCUCGGUUACAACAUGGAAACAGACAAUUGUGUCACUGAUGCGGAACUAAAAUGAGAAACAAAGUUAUAAAGAAAGGUUCAAUAUUUAACACAUUCGCGGAAUUCAAAAUCGUGGAUAUAUAGUCUAAGCAGCAUGGGGAUCGUGAGGUAUAAUUAGUAAAUCGAGGCCUCAUGCCAACCGAAAAUUUCUAAAAGCUCCACGGAAACAUUGUCCAGAUUGCAUAAAAAAAAAACAACAAAAGGAGGCAUCAAAAGAGACGAGAGAGGAGAAAAACCCUCACGAGAGAAAUCGAUUGGGAAGAGAUAAGUACCUGUAACUGGAAUUCACGAGAAACAGUUAGAGGGGCGUCGUUUUGUUGAAACAGUGGAAAUGAUGGAUACCAGAGGGAGUGUUCCGAUCUUCGCGCUCACGCUCCCCAAAAUCCGAUUAUAAAAAAGGCUGGCAGAGGUGACGUGUGCCGGUACUGCAACACCUAACCUACAGAAUACUAGUUCUUCAAACUUUUUCACGUUUUAUAAUU
rnacentral:lncRNA from 1 species